AUCUAUAUGUGUGUAUUUGUAUGUACAUAUUACCCACACAUACACACAGAAAGAUUAAUUAAAUAAUUAUGUAAUUCAUUGGGAAAAAAUUAACAGGACACUGAUAAGCAUAAGCAUUCUAAUCAAGUAACUAAUUUGAAAGCUUAGUGUCCAAACUAAAAAGCAGAGUACCUACUCCUCUGACAGCAUAUAAGUUUAUGACUUUAGUUCUUCUGAUUUCCUCAGUCACAAAGCUUAGUGACAGACCUAGCAUUGGUGGCCACAUAUUAGGAAUGCUUCCUGACUUUUACUCUGUAAUUUAUCCACAACAAGAAGAAUCCAACAAUCCUCUAGGUGUGUAUUUUCAUCUUUGUACUCAUAAAGAAUAAGGAAAAGUUGCCAUUACUUAUGCUAGAUGGAAAGUAGAAUGGGUUUUAGACCAUCUUAAAUGGAAUCAGUGCUUCAAUAAAUGGCUGUUGCCUGUCCAUCUGCCUUUCUUUAAAUACUUGCUGUAAAUUGAAUAGAUAUGCAGAGAGCCUCCUUCAUAGCAAGGAGUGAAAUCUUUUAAAGACAAUUAAGCAGUCAUGAGAAUUGUGAGGCACUGUAAGUGAAAGAAGGAAGAAAGCCUAUAGCAGAAGGGCUACCACUGACAUAGGGAAAAACCGUAAUACCUCAAGGAGAAUGCUGUAUUGGCAGAUAAUUUCAUGUUGAUGUAAUCUGAUACCAUAUAGUUCAUAUAGUAUUUGCCACUCUUAUUGCCAUUAUCUUUUGUGUUAACUCUAAAUAUGUCCUUAUGUGAUAUAUAUCAAGCUUUCUUGAUACCUUUAUAAAAGUUGGAAUAAAACUGUAUUAGGCUGAGGGAUAUAAGAAAUAUUUAAGUGUAGUGUAAAAAAAAGAAAAAACUCCAGACAAAUAUGAAGUGUGCUUUUAUUUUUUAAUCUGUGUGCUAGCAGUCAAGUUAAUGCAUUGCAUAUCAUAACAUAUGGAAAGUACCAGGUUUUCUGUGAAAUGCUUUGUUGACCAUCAGUCUUUUCUGGAUUGAUUGUUCAUGCACUUAGUACUAAUAUUGGUCAGAAAAAAAAUAUAUCUAUUUUAGUAAUCAACUUUCUUUCUGGAUUUCUUGAAUAUAGUGGCUUCUUACAUUUAGUAAAAAUAAUCUUUUAUCAACUAACACUUAAAAUGCAGUUAAAAUUGACCAGUGUUUUGAGAUAUUUAGAAACUAUUGAUUUAAACAAAUUAUUUCCAUCCAAAGUAUUUCUACAUUUUAGUAGAAGGGGAAUCAGUCAGUUAAAUUCAACAUUUUAUUUUUAAACAGGUACUUUUCAGGCCUGAUAAUUUAUGCUUCUAAGUUUUUAAUAAAGGCAAUAAAUCUUUUUUUAUUUGUCCAUUGUAAAUACACUCAUCUUUUAAGUAUGCAGUUUUCAUUGCCCAAUAGUGACUCAACUUAGACCAUAAGCUUCCCUUUCAUUGAUGUCAGUGUCACAUUAUUUGCCUUAGAAAUGAAGAAUGUUAUGAGACCUCCAACAAUAGCAAUGUUUUCUACAAAGUACAAUUUUUACAUGCACUACGAAUAGCAAUGUCAUAAGCUUUAGACUGGUAGCAAGCGUAAGUAAACAAUUCAAAUUUCUAUUCUGUAUCUUCGUGACAAAAUAUUUUACAAAUGGAUAAAAAAACCUAUAUGCUAAAUAUUUAGGAUGUUUGAAACUCAUGUACAUAGUAGAACAAGUUUCACUCUUUUUUUAAAGAAAGAUGUUCAGAAAAUAACUUUUUAUGGCGAUUGCUGAAACUGCAAGGUAGGCUAAGUAAAGAUCAAUUCAAUUCGUUACGUGCAAAUCAAUACUUGUGAGGGGAAUCGGGGUGCUUCAGCAAAUCCGGAGAUCCUUAGAAAAUGUAAGAAACAACAGAAUAAAAUGGUCACUCGUGAUAGUAGAAUACUGCCACAGUGGAAGUCUUGGAUUUUGACUACUACGUUAAUAAUAAUAGACGGCAAUAUACACAUACUUAUGCAUAGGCCUUAGAUUAUUCAGAGUAGAAAAACUACUGGAACACAGAACCCCAGCAUUUCAGUAGCUUGGCAUUAAAAAAUGUUUAUUUAUUUAUUGUCCAGUCACAAUCGAGGGCUGGCCCUGGAGGCCUCAGAGUUCUAGGAGCUUCUAUUGGAUCUACCUUUCCCUGUUGCCUUCGCAUUGUCCUUGUUUCUCUGCAGCAGACCAGGGAAGAAGCAAAGCAGAUCAUCCCCCAGGAUGUAUUUAAGGACCUGUUUUAGGGCUGUUAUGCAUCAUGUCCAGCCACAAUCCAUAAACCAGAACUCAUUCACAUGGCCACACCUACCAAUAGGAAAAGCUGGGAGAUGCAGUGGAGCUUUCUGCCCAGAAAGAUGUAGGAAAUAGUUUGUGAACAUCUAAGCGGUCUCUGUUACAGAUCUUUAUUAUCUGAGUUUAUUUCUGUCGUUGUAUCUUUAAAAAAAAAAAAACACAAAAUAUCCCAAAGUGGUUAUUUUACUUCAAGGAAUUAAAGAAAGUUAAACAUACAAACAAAAUUAUCUAUAAACAAACCUAUAAACCACCACAGAUCUUCUGAAUGAGCUUUUUCUCUGUUGAAAAACCCAGGAUUCUUUUUUUCUCAUUCAAGUGUGUGGACUGCUACUUUCUAUAGUAGAAUUUUGAUUUCAUAUUAUGUGACCUCACAUGGGCACAGCAAAGAACGUUUGUUUAAACGGUGGCAUUCCUAAAGCUCAAACCUCUAUGUACAUAUGUGUUGGCUGUACCAUGCACAGCUCUGGGAGCCCAUUUGCAUACACUACCAUGUAAAUAGCACCCUAAAGUUAUGGGCCCUGCAUGGCCUCCACAACUGUGUGACCCAAGUACAACAAUUUGCAUGAUUAAGAUUUACACCAAAAGAAUCCAAUUCCUUACAAAGCUUAAUAUUUGAAGUACUGCAGAGAGUGAAAGGACCCUCUGCCUUCAUGUAAAACACUUGGUUUUGAAUCCCUGCUGUGCCAAGUAUUUACUGUGAUAUUGGCCAUGUUAGUUAACUUACAAAAGCUUGACUUUUUCCACCAGAAAAGUAAAUAUAUACAAGACGGCAUACCUGCAAUGCCUACAAAUGCGUGGACAUUUAUAAUUCCAUUCCAAAUCCAAUUUCCUCAGCAAGGCAGAAAAAAAAAAAACUAAAAGACAAGUUUGCAGAUGCUGCCUACAUUUGUAAGAUGAAUGCAGAGGAGCGUUUACAUGAAUUUGGCUAGAACAUCAGGGAUUCUUAAUAGAAACUGACAACCAUGGUAUACAGACAAAAAGAUACUACAUCAAACUAAUCAGUCUUUCACUUCAAUGCCCAACACAUUUUUAGUGCCUGUGAUGUGCCAGGCAAUUUUAGAGUACUUUUACACAUGUUCUAUUUUUGUUUACUUAGAAAAUUGUAUGUACAGAGAUUACUACUGCUGUUUAUUCUUCUCUUACCCCAAACUUAGUUUUAUUUGCUGUGGGGAAAUAGUGUUGAUUACCAAGCUGCAGACUAAUGUGUGAGCAUGAUCCCUCUGACAAGAAGCGCUCAGUAGACUGUUAGCUGCCAGUGUCUACCACUUUUCCUGGUGGCGUACCAUCGGUCCCGUACUAUGUACAAUAAAGAAAACGUAAUGUUUUCUUUAUACUUGCAGAAGUCAACGUCGUGGUCCAAAUGCUGGUACUGGAAUGAGCCAGGAUCCAGAAGUCCUUUCACUCUUCUAUUUGUCCUUACUUGGACAUUCGUGACCACAUGCUAUACUUAAUUGUGGCUGUCUUGUAGAAACUGCCCCCACAACCCUGGAAAAGGGUAAGAAAUUCAGUGAGUGUCUUAACAUGCCAACUCUUGUUGGCAGUGGCCUAAGAGACAGGGAGACACAGGACAAAGUAGGAUAGAAGUCAUUUAGUCCUUUCAUUGGUCUCUCCUUUCAUUUAUAUUAAUUAGGGCUCUGGUUUACACCUUGUUUGCUUAAGAAUUAAUUUGUGAAAUUCAAUCAUUUUAUCGAUACCCCAUAUAGUGGCCUUCUGUUUUAUCCAUAUUUCACUUUGGAUAUUUUCAAAGCAGAGGCGUAUUCUAUUAACAUUCACAUAAUGAAUGUCAACAUGUGUUCCAUACUUUUAAUUUCCUGUCCUCAAGAGUGUGGACUUUGUUGCCAAAGAGACAGAGGCUCAAAUCCCAGGCUUAACAUUUACUGACAAUGUGGCCUUGGGCAAGUUACAGAACUUCUUGGAAAACCUGUUAAUUCUUUUGCAAAAUGAAAACAAUUAGAUCGUAUUUGCAGAGUUGUUUAAAAGGUAGAGAGAAUGUAUACCAAGCAAAGUAUGUAUUACUCAUGACUGACUAGAUAUAUUAUAUAUUACUUAGGUCAAAAAUUAUAUUAAUAUUUGCAAAAUAAAUAAUAAGAAACUUGUUCCAUAUGUUGACCAAAUAUUAAGCAAAUAAAUGCAGAACUCAGUUGAUCACCAAUUGCAUAUAUAACCUAAUUCCUAUAUAACAAUGUAUAUAAAGUAAAAGAGAAACUUCAACUAUAAGUGCUAAUUUAGAAAGAAAAUUUACAAUCCGAACUGAUGAAAACAAAUAAAAUGUGUCAUCAUAAUAUUUGCAAUUGGUAUGAGAAGCUUCCUUGAAACUCAAGCAUGGUGACGAUGAAGGAGGUGAAUUUUUUUAAAUGAGAAAAUUGAGAUUCAAAUUUUCACCUACUUUUAUGAACUGUGAUAGGAAUAGAAGUGAUUUAAAAUUGGAAAUCUAAAAGACAAUCCUGAAGCACUGUGGGAAUGGUACAAUACUGGGACUGUUCUAUUCCUGCUUACUCCUACACAGUCACUUCCUUUUUUUGUUGUUUUUUUCCUUGGGUAAUAUUGUAAUGUAGAAAAUGCAUAUUUGAAUUUACAGAAUGUCAGUUAUCAUGAAAACUAAAAUGCGUAGUUUUAUAUGCAUAUUUUCAAAAAGGAAGUUACAUUUAAAAAGAACUCUUUAGUUUGCUCUUACUUUUUAUAUGUCAAUGCAUAUAGAGAAGGAGAAAGGAAAAGGCUGCCUAUAGAAAACUGGGCUCCAUGCAGCUACUCUCAGGUAUUUUUAUAUUUAGCACAGGUAUGAAUAUUAGUAUGUGUCUGUAUGCCCAAGAAAGAAGUAAAAUGGGUCAAGGCUAAGAGGUUUUUUAUCUUUUCUAACUUUCCUUUUUUUGUUAACUGUUACAUUUUCAUGUUAAUUGAGUGCUUCUGUAUCAGGAUGGCCCUUGAUGCAUUUUGAUAAUUUACCGUAAAGAAGAAAACAGUCAUAAAGAGAAAAGAAUAGAAUUGAUGAAUCUCUCUAGAACUUUUCGAUUUUGUAAUCUCCAAAAAAAUUUGCUUUUUUAAAAAAGUACUCUGUCAAAGCUGAGUUUAUGUUACAUAAAAUAGUUGAAAGUACCAGCAGGUCUAUAUUUGUAAUGUGUCUUAGUACUGAUAGAUGUUUUAUCAUUCUCAUAUCUUUUUCAGAUGCCUACUGUGUGCUCAUCUCGCUGCUAUGCAGGAGGAGCAUGCAAAAAUCAGCUCAGCCUCUGAAAUAGAUCACUGUACUGAUUUAUAUCGGUAGAUUGGUUGCCUAAACAAGCAAGAGCUAGCCAGUUGACUUUGAGACUAUACUGCAUAGGCCAACUCACAUUUGGUAUGUGACUAAUCAUAUCACCUAAUUCCCUAAUAUGUGAUUCGGAAUUAGAAAUUCCGAGUAGAAAUUCACCCAUGGAUAGGAGAAUCUAAUUCCUUUUUUCCUUUAAUGUACAAAUAAAGCAAGGGGUUGCUGUUUCUUAUAGUAAGAGCAAAAAAAGGAAUUACUCAUUUGUCAAGUUCUAGACAAUGGACCCAGGUAAAAAUUUAUGGUAAGAAUUAUGUCUAAAGUUUAAUAUAAUGCCAGAUAUAUAUUAUUGAAGAUUGAAAAUAUAGUACAUAUUUGAGAUUGUAUUUUAAGGCUAGUAGUGAAGUAGUUAAUUCACAAAUUGUCCAAGCUAUGGAAAAGUCUAAUUAUUAAUUUAUUCAAAAUAUGUCUUACUUAUCUAUUGUAUACCAGGCCCUUUUGGUCUAAAUUAUGUCUAAAUUCUUUCUUUUCUACAUGGCUGGAGGGUAAAAUAUGACCCUAGGAAAUUACUCACUUUGUUCAUUUGAAUGUCAAUAUUGUUGAGGAUUUGAAAGAAUGAAAAAGCUAAUUAUUUGAAUAAAACGAUCUCAGCUGCUGGACAACUGUGCACCUGUAUGGCAUUUCUUACCUUUGGAGAAAGACUCAAAGUCAUUGAGCUGUCGAAAAAUGGACUGACAGCUGAUUUUUACAGUAAAGGAAAAAUAAAGUUGAUCAAUGAAACAGUUAAUAAUUUUUUGAUGAUAUCAUCCUAAAAAUACUGAUGGUAUAUACUUUCCCUUUCGUUUAUUUGAUGUCUACUAACUGUUCAACUGACAUCCAAAAUAUAAACACUGUUUUUUCUCUUCUAAAUCCUUUAGACCUAUCCUACUAUCCUAAAAAAGAUGGAAUGUUUUAUUGCUGCUUUCUAUGUAAAAUAAAAUGUCACCUAGAGGUUCAACUUGUCAUUUAGUUAUAAAAGAUAAACCAAUGAUGAUCCAGUCAUUGUUAUAAUAAAAUAAGGGAUCUAAGGAAUUGACUUUAAUAAUGGUGGACUUGAAAAUGCAGUAAUUAUUCUAUGCACUAAGAGUCUGAACACAGCACAGCCAUUAUAACAAUGGAAAGUUUAUAUGGGUUGCGUUUCAGAAUAUGAUGCAUCUGGAUAUUGAAAAACCUUUUUUCCAUCAGUUUUAUUCUGUGUAGCUAAGGACAUUUCAGUUACACCCAGUUAACCCAGAUUAGUGUGCAUCAGGGAGCAUUCAAGGUAUAGUUUUUGACAGAUUAGGUUGAAAUAAUAAAAAAGUAUUAUCACUAGGUUAGUGUUUCACAAAUUGGGAUACAUGAAAUGAUGUCCCUGGAGAUACUAACAAUGAUUGAUAAUGAAAUUAGUUGAUAUAAAUGUAUCAAUUUACUGUAUAUCAAAUCUCUCUUGAAGCAUCAUAAUUCAUAGAGAAAUCAAUGAGAAAUCCUGGAAUAAAGGUAUUUUUCAAUUUGGUUAAUGAAUCUCAACUGAUAAAAACAAUAAAAGGCACAACUCCUUUCUUCCUGUGUCUGUGAAAAGGAAAAAGAAAUUAGAUUCUUCUGUCCCUGGAUAAAUUUCCACUUGAGAAAUUACAAAUCAUGGUGAGUUUAGAUAGAAUUCAGGUAGUUAGACCAACACAUUUCAACAUUUUUAACCAGGCAAUACGUUUUUACAGCUAUAGAUUGAGAAAGGCUUUUUGAACUUAGUAUAUAUCGCUAAGGCAAGUCUUGCCAGGAUUGCUGAAGAAACAUUGUCCAAUUUUUAUUGCUGUGAGUAACACUUAAAUCAAAAAAGUCAUAAUUCAGAACUACCUGGGACAACAGAGAUCAAAUGGUAUACAGUUGUAAAUACAAAAUUAUUGAGUGCAUUAAUGUUUAAAGAAGAUAAAACUUCUGAGUUUGCUUCUGUUUAUUCCAGCCAUUCUGCCUGAAACAUUCAGAAAAGAAAUAGUUUUCAACUUUCUGUCCUAAUUAGCUCAGCCCUCACCAAUGAACACAAACAUUUUAGAGGUCAUUAUUAUUCCUACCUACAUUUUUACAGCACACUGACCUAUGUGCUAUUUAAAUUCUGGGGUUUUAAUUUCAUCAUGAUUAUUGCAGUUUUCCAAAUGCCACUGGAUGUAGAUUACUGCCAAGUAAGGCUUAUUAUCAGCGGGCCAGGGUUAUAAUGUACCACAGACAGUAGCAUUCAGUUAAGGCCAAAGUAGUUUAUUUCAUAUGGCUAGCUUACAGCACACAUUAUGCAGGAGGAACUGCCUAUUGACAAAAUUACAGAAAAAAAAAUGCGUAAGUACAAAAUCCUCUGUGGCAUUUGCCUUGAAGUUGCAUCCCAAAUUUAACACGUAAUUAAUUUUACCAUAAUAAAAAUAAUCAUCUUUUCCCCUGCAACAAGGCACAGUGUAAUUGUGUAGACUACUUUUAAUUCCGAUUGAUAAUCCUAAGUUUAAGACAUGUGUAGUAUGCUUAUUUUAAAUUUUAAAACUGUGUUGGGAAGUUCUGAGAAAUAUAUAGUAUGAAAUCCUUAUAAUUCCUUUGCAAAAGUAACCUUUUGGAUUUUAUGUUCUCUUAAGCACUAAAUUUCAUGUUGUGUCUCUUCUACUUCCCAGUGAACUGUGUUACUGAAAAUUAAAACACUUAAAACACAAGCCAGUACAACAAAAGUUCAUCCUAGUAAUUCUAAAGCUCUUCAAUUCUUAGAGUUUAGCCUUUGUCAAUAGCCAAAAUAUUUGUUUGAAAAAUAACUUUUUUGGGUUUCAAAGCAAAUGAAAACGUAAAACAAA